UUAAAAAUGAUGUAGACAUUGAUUUAACCUUUUUUUUUUUUUUAAGAUUCUAUUUAUUUAUUUGUCAGAGAGAGAGAGAGCACAAGCAGAGGGAGCAGCAGAGGGAGAAGCAGGCUCCUUGCCGAGCAAGCAGGGAGCCGGAUUCGGAAUUCCAUCCCGGGACCCUGGGAUCAUGACCUAAGCCAAAGGCAGAUGCUUAACUGACUGAGCCACCCAGGCAUCCCUACAUUGAUUUACCUUAAAAGAACCCUGCAAAUGUGAUACAAAGUUGCAUCAUGUAGAUCUCUCCAAUAAUUCAUUGCCCUGUGCUGGGUGCUUUGGAACCCAAUAAGUAGCUGUGGGAGAACAGGCCAACCUGUGGUGUUCAUUGGAAGAGGAGGGGAACGUGACAUACUAAAUUUUAAUCCCAAGCACUGAGGUGUGCAAUAUGGUGAUUCAACAAUUCUAUACAUUACUCAGUGCUCAUCGAGGGAAACCAUCCACCAGCAUUGUGACUCCAGAAGCUACUAAAGAGACAGGAUUGAAGGAACUUGGCUCCUCCCUGGACGCAGAAUGAAGACCACUAUUUAAUGCGUCAAACUCUUCCAAAUACUUCCCCAUUGAACUGACGGACAUUAGGUUCCUGAACCCAGGGACUCUGUCACAGAGAGCAGCUAAGCCUGCCACCCACUGUCACAGAAGGCAGCCUCCGGAUGCCAGGGCUCCCCACGUGGACUAGACCCAGAGCACCUUCACCUCAACCCGUAAUUCUGCUCGGGAAGUAGGAAAAGGAAGGGUGGGUCUCCUUGUUCCCAGAAUACACCUGGCCGAACCCCCAAAUCGGGUCAAGGAAAUAAAAUAAUCGACUACCUGGAGCUUCCUGGAAUCACUGCUGAUAGGACCCCGAACACCAGCAUCCUUAUUUAAGCUGAAGCAGACAACUACCGCCAGGUGGCGCCAACCGCAGCGUCCCAGCUUGAACAGGUAAUACAACUGGUCAGUGGCCAACGUCGCAAAAACCAGAAUCUGACUCAAAGACCAGUGUUCUUUGUCACCCCCCGGCCUGACCAUUCAUUUAGUCAGUCAACAAACAUCCAUUGAGCUGCUUCUAUAUACUGGGCAAUCGAGAAGCAAAGACACGCCAGGCUAUGAGGGUAUGGAUCACAAAAAGGAACCUUGAAACUAUCAGUUUCAUGGAAAUUCCUGACUUUAACAAGCUAAAGAAAUGCAGUGCUCCUCCUGUGCAUGUAGAAUGGUAGAACUGGAAAUGUUGUAGGCUCCACACCCAGCGUGGAGCUCAACCUGGAGUUUGAACUCACGACCCUGAGAUCAAGACCUGAGGGGAGAUCAAGAGUUGGAUGCUUGACCUACUGAGUGAUCCAGUUGACCAUCUAGCAAAUUUGGUCAUACUCCUCCUCUCCUGAUCUGGACAACACAAGUCCUGCAUAAUCCCUUUUCAUGUCAGAGAGAUCAUGUGAUGAACAAAUUCCAGAGGAAAUACUGGGUGUAUAGGACUCUUAUUAAAUGGUGUUCACUGAAGAUCAGAAAGGGUGAUUCAACUGGCUGGCCCUGAUGUACUUAGGGAAACCUCACUUAGCCUCUUCUAGACCAUCACACCUUCUACCUUUCAGUGCAACUUCCCUAUUUUUUCUAAGGGAAAAAGUAUAAAUAAAAUAAUAUUUUAAAUAGAAGAUUUAGAAAGUAAGACAAUCAGAUGGUUUAUGUAUAUUCAACAACAUUUGGGAACAGGAUAUCAUGGGCUCUGGAACCUGGUUUCAAGCCUUGGAUUCAUUCUUACUAACAGUUAAUUAGUCACUCUGUGACUCAGUUUCCCUAACUGUCAAAUGGUCAAUAGUAUUUAUUUGUUAGUCUUAAUAUUGGUUGACUAUAUAUGUUAUUAUAUAUAAAUAUAUAAGAC